rnacentral:rRNA from 1 species
CGGGUGAGUAACGCGUGGUCAACCUACCGUUGAGUGGGGGAUAACUAGCCGAAAGGUUAGCUAAUACCGCAUACGUCUCCGAGAGGCAUCUCUUGGCGAUAAAAGGAGCAAUCCGCUCGAUGACGGGACCGCGUCCCAUUAGCUAGAUGGUGGGGUAACGGCCUACCAUGGCUCCGAUGGGUAGCUGGUUUGAGAGAGCGACCAGCCACACUGGGACUGAGAAACGGCCCAG